UAGGGAAUCUUCCGCAAUGGGCGAAAGCCUGACGGAGCAACGCCGCGUGAGUGAUGAAGGUCUUCGGAUCGUAAAACUCUGUUAUUAGGGAAGAACAAAUGUGUAAGUAACUAUGCACGUCUUGACGGUACCUAAUCAGAAAGCCACGGCUAACUACGUGCCAGCAGCCGCGGUAAUACGUAGGUGGCAAGCGUUAUCCGGAAUUAUUGGGCGUAAAGCGCGCGUAGGCGGUUUUUUAAGUCUGAUGUGAAAGCCCACGGCUCAACCGUGGGGGGUCAUUGGAAACUGGAAAACUUGAGUGCAGAAGAGGAAAGUGGAAUUCCAUGUGUAGCGGUGAAAUGCGCAGGGAUAUGGAGGAACACCAGUGGCGAAGGCGACUUUCUGGUCUGUAACUGACGCUGAUGUGCGAAAGCGUGGGGAUCAAACAGG
rnacentral:rRNA from 1 species